GGCCCCCUACGAGACAGACAGUUUACCAGAUAGGUCCAACUACAGAGACAGACAGGCAGGUCCAACUACAGAGACAGACAGGCAGGUGCAACUACAGAGACAGACAGGCAGUUUAGCAGACAGAUCCAACUACAGAGACAGACAGGCAGUUCAACUACAGAGACAGACAGGCAGGUCCAACUACAGAGACAGACAGGCAGUUUGCCAGACAGGUCCAACUACAGAGACAGACAGGCAGGUCCAACUACAGACACAGACAGGCAGAUCCCACUACAGACAGACAGACAGGCAGAUCCCACUACAGACAGACAGACAGGUCCAACUACAGACACAGACAGGCAGUUUAGCAGACAGGUCCAACUACAGAGACAGACAGGCAGUUUAGCAGACAGGUCCAACUACAGAGAAAGACAGGCAGUUUAGCAGACAGGUCCAACUACAGAGACAGACAGGCAAGUUCAACUACAGACAGGCAGUUUACCAGACAGGUCCAACUACAGAGACAGACAGGCAGGUCCAACUACAGACACAGACAGGCAGGUCCAACUACAGACAGACAAGCAGCUGCAACUACAGACAGACAAGCAGCUGCAACUACAGAGACAGACAGGCAGUUUAGCAGACAGGUCCAACUACAGAGACAGACAGGCAAGUUCAACUACAGAGACAGACAGGCAAGUUCAACUACAGAGACAGACAGGCAGUUUGCCAGACAGGUCCAACUACAGAGACAGACAUGUCCAACUACAGACACAGACAGGCAGUUUAGCAGACAGGUCCAACUACAGAGACAGACAGGCAAGUUCAACUACAGACAGGCAGUUUACCAGACAGGUCCAGCUACAGACAGGCAGUUUACCCGACAGGUCCAACUACAGAGACAGACAGGUCCAACUACAGACAGACAGUUUACCCGACAGGUCCAACUACAGACACAGACAGGUCCAACUACAGAGACAGAUAGGUCCAACUACAGACAGGCAGUUUACCCGAGAGGUCCAACUACAGAGACAGACAGGCAAGUUCUACUACAGAGACAGACAGGCAGUUCACCAGACAGGUCCAACUACAGAGACAGACAGGUCCAACUACAGACAGGCAGUUUAGCAGACAGGUCCAACUACAGAGACAGACAGGCAGUUUAGCAGACAGGUCCAACUACAGAGACAGACAGGCAAGUUCAACUACAGACAGGCAGUUUACCAGACAGGUCCAACUACAGGCACAGACAGGCAGCUGCAACUACAGACACAGACAGGCAGCUGCAACUACAGACACAGACAGGCAGUUUAGCAGACAGGUCCAACUACAGAGACAGACAGGCAAGUUCAACUACAGAGACAGACAGGCAGUUCGCCAGACAGGUCCAACUACAGAGACAGACAGGCAAGUUCAACUACAGAGACAGACAGGCAGUUCACCAGACAGGUCCAACUACAGAGACAGACAGGCAGGUCCAACUACAGACACAGACAGUCAGGUCCAACUACAGACACAGGCAGCUGCAACUACAGAGACAGACAGGCAGUUUAGCAGACAGGUCCAACUACAGAGACAGACAGGCAAGUUCAACUACAGAGACAGACAGGCAAGUUCAACUACAGAGACACAGGCAGUUUGCCAGACAGGUCCAACUACAGAGACAGACAGGUCCAACUACAGACACAGACAGGCAGUUUAGCAGACAGGUCCAACUACAGAGACAGACAGGUCCAACUACAGACAGGCAGUUUACCCGACAGGUCCAACCACAGAGACAGACAGGUCCAACUACAGAGACAGACAGGUCCAACUACAGACAGGCAGUUUACCCGAGAGGUCCAACUACAGAGACAGACAGGCAAGUUCUACUACAGAGACAGACAGGCAGUUCACCAGACAGGUCCAACUACAGAGACAGACAGGCAAGUUCAACUACAGACAGGCAGUUUACCAGACAGGUCCAACUACAGGCACAGACAGGCAGCUGCAACUACAGACACAGACAGGCAGCUGCAACUACAGAGACAGACAGGCAGUUUAACAGACAGGUCCAACUACAGAGACAGACAGGCAAGUUCAACUACAGAGACAGACAGGCAGUUCGCCAGACAGGUCCAACUACAGAGACAGACAGGCAAGUUCAACUACAGAGACAGACAGGCAGUUCACCAGACAGGUCCAACUACAGAGACAGACAGGCAGGUCCAACUACAGACACAGACAGUCAGGUCCAACUACAGACAGACAGGCAGCUGCAACUACAGAGACAGACAGGCAGUUUAGCAGACAGGUCCAACUACAGAGACAGACAGGCAAGUUCAACUACAGAGACAGACAGGCAAGUUCAACUACAGAGACAGACAGGCAGUUUGCCAGACAGGUCCAACUACAGAGACAGACAGGUCCAACUACAGACACAGACAGGCAGUUUAGCAGACAGGUCCAACUACAGAGACAGACAGGUCCAACUACAGAGACAGACAGGUCCAACUACAGACAGGCAGUUUACCCGACAGGUCCAACCACAGAGACAGACAGGUCCAACUACAGAGACAGACAGGUCCAACUACAGACAGGCAGUUUACCCGAGAGGUCCAACUACAGAGACAGACAGGCAGUUCACCAGACAGGACCAACUACAGAGACAGACAGGUCCAACUACAGACAGGCAGUUUAGCAGACAGGUCCAACUACAGAGACAGACAGGCAGUUUACCAGACAGCUGCAACUACAGAGACAGACAGGCAAGUUCAACUACAGACAGGCAGUUUACCAGACAGGUCCAGCUACAGACAGGCAGUUUACCCGAGAGGUCCAAAUACAGAGACAGACAGGCAAGUUCAACUACAGAGACAGACAGGCAGUUUAGCAGACAGGUCCAACUACAGAGACAGACAGGCAGCUGCAACUACAGAGACAGACAGGCAGCUGCAACUACAGAGACAGACAGGCAGUUUAGCAGACAGGUCCAAUUACAGAGACAGACAGGCAAGUUCAACUACAGAGACAGACAGGCAGUUUGCCAGACAGGUCCAACUACAGAGACAGACAGGCAGUUCACCAGACAGGUCCAACUACAGAGACAGACAGGCAAGUCCAACUACAGACAGUCAGGUCCAACUACAGACACAGACAGUCAGGUCCAACUACAGACAGACAGGCAGCUGCAACUACAGAGACAGACAGGCAGUUUACCAGACAGGUCCAACUACAGAGACAGACAGGCAAGUUCAACUACAGAGACAGACAGGCAGUUUGCCAGACAGGUCCAACUACAGAGACAGACAGGUCCAACUACAGACACAGACAGGCAGUUUAGCAGACAGGUCCAACUACAGAGACAGACAGGUCCAACUACAGAGACAGACAGGUCCAACUACAGACAGGCAGUUUACCCGACAGGUCCAACUACAGAGACAGACAGGUCCAACUACAGACAGGCAGUUUACCCGAGAGGUCCAACUACAGAGACAGACAGGCAAGUUCAACUACAGAGACAUACAGGCAGUUCACCAGACAGGUCCAACUACAGAGACAGACAGGUCCAACUACAGACAGGCAGUUUAGCAGACAGGUCCAACUACAGAGACAGACAGGCAGUUUACCAGACAGGUCCAGCUACAGAGACAGAAAAACAGACUGGCAGGUCCAACUACAGAGACAGACAGGUCCACACCAUGGUGUCAGAGAACUCCUUCUUGUCGCUGAUGUCGUCCACCGUGUAGGUUCCUGACUGGUUGAGGUAGUAGUAGUAGUCGGGUGUCGUGAUCCCCAGGUUCUCCCUCUGUUCUGCACUAGCACCUCCGAGCAGCUGAGGUCAGAGGUCAGAGAAAUGCCAGGUCACAUUUUGCGUUCAUACCGGUUCAGGACCUGUGACCGGUUCACGGUACCUGGUAGUAGAUGUGGAAGUUUCUCUCUCCAGGAUUCUGGGAAAUUACUCGACUUUUUUCCAAGAGAAAGUUGGAGAUUUUGCCUCCAUCAGGCGCUCCUCCACGACUGAACUGGAUCUCAAAGUAUUUACCCUGAUUGGACGCAGAGCGAAGGUUGUGUUUUUGCUGUGGACAGUUUUGUGUCUGUCUGUUAUUGGAGGAUUUUAUACUCACGAAUCUGCUGGAGUUGUUGUUGCGGACGGUCUUGGCGUUUCCAAAGGCCUCCAGUAGAGGGUUGGACUGCAGGAUGAUGUCUUUAACGUGCUGCACACAAACACACCGUGUAGGUAACGGCUGUGAUGGCUCAUCACACCACUAGAACAUCUGCUCACCUGGACCUUGUCGCCGCCUCCAGACACCUUCGACACGUAGCUCAUGAUGUAUUUAGCAGCAACAGUUUUUCCAGCUCCACUUUCACCACUAACAGACAAGAUUCAUGAUAAAGUCUGAUGAAACGAUGGUUUUGUUGCUUCACUGAGAGUAGAGUUUAGGUGUAAAUACGAUCAUAUCAAACCUGAAACUCAACUGUUUUUUUUACAAGUGUGAUAAACAACAAGAAGCAGAACCUGAAUGUGUGGCCCAAAACCAAAGAUCAGUUAAGCCCAGUCUAGUUGCCAUGGAGACUCAUUGAUGUAUUGAACCAGAGCUUGCUGCAUUUUACCUGAUGAUCACACACUGGUUCUCGAUGUCAAUCAUCAUGUUUCUGUACAUGUUGUCAGCCAGGGCGUAGAUGUGUGGCGGGUUCUCGUACUGAGCCUGUGGGGGAGGGGAGGUUCUGGAGGUUAGUGACGUCUUCGUGAUUGUGGAGACUGGACCCACGUGAUGCCUGCGGUCUCACCGCUGCCUGGUAGAGCUCCACCUCUCGGUCGGUGAAGUACGGAAGCUGUUUGAAUGGAUUCACAGAGAUCAGAACCGGACCAAUGUAGGUCUGACACAAAGAAGCGAGUCAAGGGUUAACCAGGAGAACUUGUUACCACAUUCAUGGUGUGUGUUAAGGCUAAAACUAACAGUGAUGUGACACGUGAGGAUACGAAGAUGUAGUCGUCCAUGUAUCUCUUCUUCAGGUUGUCUGUGAUGGCGUCCUCGUUGAUCUUGGACAACAGCACCAUGUCGUCCACGCCGCUGACCUUCACGUUCUGAGCCUGCCAAUGGUAGCGCUCCUUGCUGCCCUGUGGGGGGAGGGGAGGGGUUAGAAAAAACACCUCUGGACAGGGGGUUAGUGGACCAGACUUCAUGGUUCUGUAACCAGGUGAGGUGCCAUCACCGCCACAGGUAACAAACCUGUGGGAUUCCAGUUGGACCUCUUCUCUCCGGAAUUCCCAGGAUUCCUGGGUCCUGUGGGAUCUUGUCAUGUUGCGCAGCGACACGUUUGUUCCAACUCGCUAAGAUGCAGGAAGCUGCAUGUUUCAGGGUGUGUGUGUGUGUUGACACACGUUUGUAGAUGUAGCUUUGUAAGAAUACUUACUGAGGAAAUUCAUCCUGAAUCAAACCCAGACCAAAAUGAUCCCAAGCCCUAGAACCUCAUGUUCACUCACCAAUCCUUCUCAGAGUUAAUGGUGAGUCUGGGUGUGAGUGGAGUUGCUACAAUAAGAACCAGUCCAGUUGAAAGCCCAGGGUUCGUUUGACCCCUCUUUAACCCCAUCAGGUGUCAUUUAGUUCAGAAAGAGCUGCUCAGAUAAAACCAAGGUUUUAAUACUUGGGGACACAUUAUUGAAUCAAUUAGUUACUGUGGAUGAUGUAAAUUCAGGUUCUACUGUAGGAACUUUGGUGUCGUCUUUGACCAACAUCGCUCCUUUACCUAUAUUAAAUCUCUAGAACCUCCUACUUCCAUCUGAAAAUAAGGACUUAGAGAAGCCGAUGGAGGAGAAAUGUGAUUUAUUUUCCUGUCCUGGAAAAUCUAGGAGACAGUUCACACUUCCAAAGCUCCUAAUGAUCAGCUCCACCUUCUCAUCGAGUCCUCAUAGCUCCUGGUGGUUCUAAAGGUUCUACAUGUGGAAUGGGAGGCAGAGCCUUUGUGGAACAAGGUCCAGUUCAGGUUCUAGAAGCAGACAUCAUCAGCUUUCAGGACCAGGCUUAGAACCUUAGCUAGAGAUGGUUCAGGUCCCGUUGAAGCAUCAGUGCCUUGAGAUGAAUUUUGCUGUGAAUUCAUUUCAUCUAGAGACAUGUGACAUGCGUUUCCAUGGUAACCGCAUGUUAAACAUAUUUUAACAUUUAAUGUGUUACAGAAUUUAAUUUAGUAUUACUCAAUUAUUUAUUCUGUUUUAUUCAUCUUUCAAUGUUUAAAAAAAUUGUUUCCAUUUUUUUUAUUUAAUUUUCAUAAAUGUUUACAUUAGAAUAAAUAAUACAGUCAGCAAUCAAUCUUUGACAUUUUUACACAUUCAGUUAAAAUAAAUUUCAGGUCGUUUUGUUUAUAACUACUUUCAUUGAGAUCUUUUUUGUUUGCUUAUGUUGUUGUUUUGCUUGUGACUUUAAAAUUUAACUGAACACUUCGUAGAUUUUUAUUUACCAUUUAUUUUAUUUAUCUUAUCUUGCAUUUUCUGAAACUUAAUCUGAAAUCAGGAAGAUUUUUUAUUUAAACAUAGGUCUGUUAUUGAAGCUUGGUAGGUAUAAAACUGGACCUGAAACGGGACCAGGAGCAGUUAACAUGUCUCAUUAUCAGGUUAAAAGAAAACAAAGUCAGGGAUCUCACCAUGUCUGCUCCUCCGUCCCACACUUCCUGCUUCAGCUACAAGUUGAGAAAUCUUACACGUCUUGGGUGGAGACGGUGGAUCCAGGCAGACCUGGACUGAAGCAGGAUCACUUUAGUCCAGAUCAGAUCGGCUCGGUUUGGUGGAGUCAGCUUGAUUCUACAGACUGUGACAUAUUUGUCUCAGUUUGAUUUGUCCCGUAAUCCUUCCUUCAGUCUUCAGUCUCUCAACUCUCUGCAGGUGUGGGCAGGUGAAGCCACGCCUCCUUCUUAGCCCAGAGGACUUUGGGUAAUGUGGUCUUGAAGCUUGACAAAUGGACUGCUGUUGCCCCCUGAAUUGGAUUCACGCUACAAUUCAGCUUUAUUGAUGAUGACGUCUGGUCACUGUAGAAUAUUAACAUGAAACAUUUGUUUAAAUAAUUAACUCAGUAAUUUGUAACUAUGUUUAUUAGACAAUCUGAAGGCGUGUCUGAAACAUACAAACACAGCGAACAGUCUUGGUUCUGGUCUAGGGAGAACAGGCUGCAGUGAAGUCCUGCGCUCACAGGGCCCCUUCACCCUGACGAGCUUUGAAUUCAUUUUACAUUCAGAGCCACAAACAGAA